rnacentral:rRNA from 1 species
GGGGAAUAUUGGACAAUGGGGGCAACCCUGAUCCAGCAAUGCCGCGUGUGUGAAGAAGGUUUUCGGAUUGUAAAGCACUUUCGACGGGGACGAUGAUGACGGUACCCGUAGAAGAAGCCCCGGCUAACUUCGUGCCAGCAGCCGCGGUAAUACGAAGGGGGCUAGCGUUGCUCGGAAUGACUGGGCGUAAAGGGCGUGUAGGCGGUUUGUACAGUCAGAUGUGAAAUCCCCGGGCUUAACCUGGGAGCUGCAUUUGAUACGUGCAGACUAGAGUGUGAGAGAGGGUUGUGGAAUUCCCAGUGUAGAGGUGAAAUUCGUAGAUAUUGGGAAGAACACCGGUGGCGAAGGCGGCAACCUGGCUCAUAACUGACGCUGAGGCGCGAAAGCGUGGGGAGCAAACAGGAUUAGAUACCCUGGUAGUCCACGCUGUAAACGAUGUGUGCUAGAUGUUGGGUAACUUAGUUAUUCAGUGUCGCAGUUAACGCGUUAAGCACACCGCCUGGGGAGUACGGCCGCAAGGUUGAA